GUGGGGAAUAUUGGGCAAUGGGCGAAAGCCUGACCCAGCAACGCCGCGUGAAGGAAGAAGGUCUUCGGAUCGUAAACUUCUAUCCUAGGUGAAGAUAAUGACGGUAGCCGAGAAGGAAGCCCCGGCUAACUACGUGCCAGCAGCCGCGGUAAUACGUAGGGGGCAAGCGUUGUCCGGAAUGAUUGGGCGUAAAGGGCGCGUAGGCGGCCUGGUAAGUCUGGAGUGAAAGUCCUGCUUUUAAGGUGGGAAUUGCUGUGGAUACUGUCGGGCUUGAGUGCAGGAGAGGUAAGUGGAAUUCCCGGUGUAGCGGUGAAAUGCGUAGAGAUCGGGAGGAACACCAGUGGCGAAGGCGACUUACUGGACUGUAACUGACGCUGAGGCGCGAAAGUGUGGGGAGCAAACAGGAUUAGAAACCCGAGUAGUCC
rnacentral:rRNA from 1 species